CUACGGGUGGCUCCAGUGGGGAAUAUUGCACAAUGGAGGAAACUCUGAUGCAGCAACGCCGCGUGGAGGAUGACACUUUUCGGAGCGUAAACUCCUUUUAUAUAGGAAGAAGAUGACGGUACUAUAUGAAUAAGCGCCGGCUAACUCCGUGCCAGCAGCAGCGGUAAUAAGGAGGGCGCAAGCGAUACUCGGAAUCACUGGGCGUAAAGAGCGUGUAGGCGGAUUAAAAAGUCAGAAGUGAAAUCCUAUAGCUUAACUAUAGAACUGCUUCUGAAACUCUUAAUCUAGAAUAUGGGAGAGGUAGAUGGAAUUUCUGGUGUAGGGGUAAAAUCCGUAGAGAUCAGAAGGAAUACCGAUUGCGAAGGCGAUCUACUAGAACAUUAUUGACGCUGAGACGCGAAAGCGUGGGGAGCAAACAGGAUUAGAUACCCUCGUAGUC
rnacentral:rRNA from 1 species